rnacentral:ncRNA from 1 species
CAGCCUGAGGAGCGCUGCAACGGUUAGCCUGUUUAAUCGGCUAACCGCUAGGCUCAGGCAAUCACUCAAUGAUUAACUGCGCUCAUUCAAU